AGUCGAACGAGAGAUGAGGAGCUUGCUCUUCAAAUCGAGUGGCGAACGGGUGAGUAACGCGUGAGGAACUUGCCUCAAAGAGGGGGACAACAGUUGGAAACGACUGCUAAUACCGCAUAAGCCCACGGCUCGGCAUCGAGCAGGGGGAAAAGGAGCAAUCCGCUUUGAGAUGGCCUCGCGUCCGAUUAGCUAGUUGGUGAGGUAAUGGCCCACCAAGGCGACGAUCGGUAGCCGGACUGAGAGGUUGAACGGCCACAUUGGGACUGAGACACGGCCCAGACUCCUACGGGAGGCAGCAGUGGGGAAUAUUGCACAAUGGGGGAAACCCUGAUGCAGCGACGCCGCGUGGAGGAAGAAGGUCUUCGGAUUGUAAACUCCUGUUGUUGAGGAAGAUAAUGACGGUACUCAACAAGGAAGUGACGGCUAACUACGUGCCAGCAGCCGCGGUAAAACGUAGGUCACAAGCGUUGUCCGGAAUUACUGGGUGUAAAGGGAGCGCAGGCGGGAGAACAAGUUGGAAGUGAAAUCCAUGGGCUCAACCCAUGAACUGCUUUCAAAACUGUUUUUCUUGAGUAGUGCAGAGGUAGGCGGAAUUCCCGGUGUAGCGGUGGAAUGCGUAGAUAUCGGGAGGAACACCAGUGGCGAAGGCGGCCUACUGGGCACCAACUGACGCUGAGGCUCGAAAGUGUGGGUAGCAAACAGGAUUAGAUACCCUGGUAGUCCACACCGUAAACGAUGAUUACUAGGUGU
rnacentral:rRNA from 1 species